rnacentral:rRNA from 1 species
AGUGAACGCUGGCGGUAGGCCUAACACAUGCAAGUCGAACGGCAGCACAGUAAGAGCUAGCUCUUACGGGUGGCGAGUGGCGGACGGGUGAGGAAUACAUCGGAAUCUACUUUUUCGUGGGGGAUAACGUAGGGAAACUUACGCUAAUACCGCAUACGACCUACGGGUGAAAGCAGGGGAUCUUCGGACCUUGCGCGAUUGAAUGAGCCGAUGUCGGAUUAGCUAGUUGGCGGGGUAAAGGCCCACCAAGGCGACGAUCCGUAGCUGGUCUGAGAGGAUGAUCAGCCACACUGGAACUGAGACACGGUCCAGACUCCUACGGGAGGCAGCAGUGGGGAAUAUUGGACAAUGGGCGCAAGCCUGAUCCAGCCAUACCGCGUGGGUGAAGAAGGCCUUCGGGUUGUAAAGCCCUUUUGUUGGGAAAGAAAAGCAGCAGGUUAAUACCCCGCUGUUCUGACGGUACCCAAAGGAUAAGCACCGGCUAACUUCGUG